rnacentral:rRNA from 1 species
AAUGAACGUUGGCGGCGUGGAUUAGGCAUGCAAGUCGAGCGAGAACCCCGCAAGGGGGGACAGCGGCGAAAGGGACAGUAAUGUGUAGAUUAUCUGCCCUCAGGUCCGGGAUAGCUGCGGGAAACUGCAGGUAAUACCGGAUAACAUCUCCGGAUCAAAGGUGUGAUUCCGCCUGAGGAUGAGUCUGCAUCCUAUUAGCUAGUUGGUGGGGUAAUGGCCUACCAAGGCAUUGAUGGGUAGCAGGUGUGAGAGCACGACCUGCGUCAUUGGGACUGAGACACUGCCCAGACAACUACGGGUGGCUGCAGUCGAGAAUCUUCGGCAAUGGGAGCAAGCCUGACCGAGCGACGCCGCGGGUGGGAUGAAGGCCUUCGGGUUGUAAACCACUGUCAGAGGGGAUGAAAUGCAGGUGGGUUCUCCCAUCUGUUUGACAUAGCCUCAGAGGAAGGACGGGCUAAGUUCGUG